rnacentral:misc_RNA from 1 species
GUGAAUCAUCAAAUUUUUGAACGCAAAUUGCGCCUUUUUCGGAAGGCAUGUCUGUUUGAGGGCACCAUUUAACAAAUAAUGUGCGCGUCGUCUGUGCAUACUAGCGGCGUGCACACGUUGAUGAGCUUUUCCGAGAAAACCAGGUUUUUUCGGUGGCGAAUAAUGAACAGCGUGGGCUUUUUCUUUCGAUUUUAGUGUGGUAAGUAACUUUAGAUGUUUGGGUCGGGAAAAAGUGCGUGACGCGAUAU